rnacentral:rRNA from 1 species
UACAUGGGGUGCAAACGUUGCUCGGAAUCAUUGGGCGUAAAGCGCGCGUAGGCGGUUGCUUAAGUCGGAUGUGAAAGCCCUCGGCUUAACUGAGGAAGUGCAUCCGAAACUGAGCAGCUAGAGUACGAAAGAGGGUCGCGGAAUUCCCGGUGUAGAGGUGAAAUUCGUAGAUAUCAGGAGGAACACCGGUGGCGAAGGCGGUUCUCUGGGCCAUAACUGACGCUGAGAAGCGAAAGCAUGGGGAGCGAACAGG